rnacentral:snoRNA from 1 species
CAUCUCCUAUCAGUUAGUGAUGAAGCAAUCCCUUGUUCAUCCCCAGCUUGGCUUUUGAUCUAUGCCUGGUUCAUGCCUUGGACACAUGG